AAAAGAACAAGAAAAGAGGGGAAAAGAGGGCUUUCUGGGGGGAGGAAAAAUCAGAAAAAGGAAGAAGAAGAGAAAAGGCUCACGACGGAGGAACCAAGCGACAGCGGAUUGAAAACGGGAAGAAAAGAAAGAGAAGAGGGGAAAGAGGGCACAACAACUCCAGUGAAGCUGCUCAAGCUCAACGAAACGGCUCCAAGCGCAGCAGUUUCAUGGCCAGAGCCUCUCAUCAACUUCUUCUCCAC
rnacentral:lncRNA from 1 species